rnacentral:rRNA from 1 species
CCCUUAGAUGUUCUGGGCCGCACGCGCGCUACACUGAUAUAUUCAACGAGCCUAUAGCCUUGGCCGACAGGCCCGGGUAAUCUUUGAAAUUUCAUCGUGAUGGGGAUAGAUCAUUGCAAUUGUUGGUCUUCAACGAGGAAUUCCUAGUAAGCGCGAGUCAUCAGCUCGCGUUGACUACGUCCCUGCCCUUUGUACACACCGCCCGUCGCUCCUACCGAUUGAAUGGUCCGGUGGAUAAUUCGGACUGCGGCAUUGACCGGUUCCCGAUCGUUGCUGCGGAAAGUUUAGUGAACCUUAUCACUUAGAGGAAGGAGAAGUCGUAACA